UGGACCACUGCUGAGAAAGUGUAAUGAACCAUGGGUUAAGACUGAUCCAUUUUAGUGAAACUGAGAUCCUUU
rnacentral:snoRNA from 1 species